rnacentral:rRNA from 1 species
UACCCUACGGGAGGCAGCAGUGGGGAAUAUUGCACAAUGGGGGAAACCCUGAUGCAGCGACGCCGCGUGAGUGAAGAAGUAUUUCGGUAUGUAAAGCUCUAUCAGCAGGGAAGAAAAAAGACGGUACCUGACUAAGAAGCCCCGGCUAACUACGUGCCAGCAGCCGCGGUAAUACGUAGGGGGCAAGCGUUAUCCGGAUUUACUGGGUGUAAAGGGAGCGUAGACGGCUGUGCAAGUCUGAGGUGAAAGCCCAGG